rnacentral:rRNA from 1 species
UGGGGAAUAUUGCGCAAUGGGGGGAACCCUGACGCAGCCAUGCCGCGUGAAUGAAGAAGGCCUUAGGGUUGUAAAGUUCUUUCGGUAUUGAGGAAGGUUGAUGUGUUAAUAGCACAUCAAAUUGACGUUAAAUACAGAAGAAGCACCGGCUAACUCCGUGCCAGCAGCCGCGGUAAUACGGAGGGUGCGAGCGUUAAUCGGAAUAACUGGGCGUAAAGGGCACGCAGGCGGUUAUUUAAGUGAGGUGUGAAAGCCCUGGGCUUAACCUAGGAAUUGCAUUUCAGACCGGGUAACUAGAGUACUUUAGGGAGGGGUAGAAUUCCACGUGUAGCGGUGAAAUGCGUAGAGAUGUGGAGGAAUACCGAAGGCGAAGGCAGCCCCUUGGGAAUGUACUGACGCUCAUGUGCGAAAGCGUGGGGAGCAAACAGGAUUAGAUACCCUGGUAGUCCACGCUGUAAACGCUGUCGAUUUGGGGGUUGGGGUUUAACUCUGGCGCCCGUAGCUAACGUGAUAAAUCGACCGCCUGGGGAGUACGGCCGCAAGGUUA